UACGUAGGGUGCGAGCGUUAAUCGGAAUUACUGGGCGUAAAGCGUGCGCAGGCGGUUGUGCAAGACAGAUGUGAAAUCCCCGGGCUCAACCUGGGAACUGCAUUUGUGACUGCACGGCUGGAGUGCGGCAGAGGGGGAUGGAAUUCCGCGUGUAGCAGUGAAAUGCGUAGAUAUGCGGAGGAACACCGAUGGCGAAGGCAAUCCCCUGGGCCUGCACUGACGCUCAUGCACGAAAGCGUGGGGAGCAAUCAGG
rnacentral:rRNA from 1 species